rnacentral:rRNA from 1 species
UACGUAGGGGGCAAGGCGUUGUCCGGAUUUAUUGGGCGUAAAGAGCGUGUAGGCGGCUUUACAGGUCCGUUGUGAAAACUCGAGGCUCAACCUCGAGACGCCGGUGGAAACCGUAAAGCUAGAGUCCGGAAGAGGAGAGUGGAAUUCCUGGUGUAGCGGUGAAAUGCGCAGAUAUCAGGAAGAACACCCGUGGCGAAGGCGGCUCUCUGGGACGGUACUGACGCUGAGACGCGAAAGCGUGGGGAGCGAACAGG